UCAAGAUAGAGUGAGGCAGUAUGCCACGAGUCCAAUGCGCUCGAUGAUCAAAAAAUCUCCCACAUAAUGACGGCUCAACUUCCCUCUCUUUCCAAAAUGCACCUUUGUUUUGUAGGGGUAGACUUUUAGGAAAACUUUAUCUCCCACGGCAAACUCCAAGGGUCAUCUACGAUUAUUGGCGUAGCUCUUUUGGCAACUCUAGGUAGUUGUCAAAUUCUUGCGGAUGAUUGCAAUCUUCUCAAUGGUCUCCUGAAUGAAGUCUGAUCCUAAGUGGUGCUGGUUCCCAACUUCACUCCAACAAGUAGUGGAACGACAAGGCCUUCCAUACAAUGCUUCAUACGAGG
rnacentral:lncRNA from 1 species